AAACAUAUUAGGGGGGCAUUUCCUUGUCAAAUCCUUGAAUCUCUUCCAAGCUUCAUAAAGAGUCUCACCAUUCUGCUGUCUGAAUGUUUGUAGUUCCGUUCUCAGCCU